rnacentral:rRNA from 1 species
AUUGAACGCUGGCGGCAGGCCUAACACAUGCAAGUCGAACGAGUGGCGGACGGGUGAGUAAUGUCUGGGAACCUGCCCGAUUUAGGGGGAUAACUUCUGGAAACGGUAGCUAAUACCGCAUACCGUCGGGUGUUCCCCGAUGGGAUUAGCUAUUAGGUGGGGUCAUGGGUCACCUAGGCGACGAUCCCUAGCUGGUCUGCGAGGAUGACCAGCCACACUGGAACUGAGACACGGGCCAGACGCCUAAGGGAGGCAGCAGUGGGGAAUAUUGCACAAUGGGCGCAAGCCUGAUGCAGCCAUGCCGCGUGUAUGAAGAAGGCGUUCGGGUUGUAAAGUACUUUCAGCGAGGAGGCGUUAGUCGCAGAAGAAGCACCGGCUAACUCCGUGCCAGCAGCCGCGGUAAUUC